rnacentral:rRNA from 1 species
GACGAAGGGGGCUAGCGUUGUUCGGAAUUACUGGGCGUAAAGCGCGUGUAGGCGGUUGGUCAAGUCAGGUGUGAAAGCCUUGAGCUCAACUCAAGGAAUGCACUUGAUACUGGAUGACUAGAGGACCGGAGAGGAUAGUGGAAUUCCCAGUGUAGUGGUGAAAUACGUAGAGAUUGGGAAGAACACCAGUGGCGAAGGCGGCUAUCUGGACGGUGUCUGACGCUAAGACGCGAAAGCGUGGGGAGCAAACAGG